UUCAAGGAUUCUUUCAGAAGUAGAACGGCAAAUCUUGCCACUGAGCUUAGAGUCUGUAUGUGUUUUAACAAAACUUGUGAAAUUUGAGUCUCACAACAUCCAUGAAAAGAGAUAGAUCUAGUCCCAAUUUACAGAUACUGGUUCAUUAAGAUUUUGCUUCCUGUCCAAGGACACCCAAUUCAAGACUAGAGUGGUCUGGUGCAAGGAAAACACUCUGAAUUCAAGAUCAUGCUGUCUGAAGGAUGGCACCUGCAACUGACAGGAGAGAAUUCUGCCUGCAAACCAUUGUUCAGUGCACAACAGACUGCUAAUUACUCAGAGAGACACAGUUUUUCAACAAAGAAUGUGUAUUCCUUCCAGAAAAUGUUGGAAAAUGAAGCAUGAAGAAGAAAAUAACAUUUACAUAUAUAUGUACGACCAGGUCUCUUUGCUGUCCACCUAAAACUGUCAGAACAUUGUUGACCAACUAUACUCCAUUAUAAAAUAAAAAGUUUAAAAAUAUAAAU